rnacentral:tRNA from 1 species
GGGAGCGUCAGCCGGCGCCGAUCCUGUUCACCUUGAAAGCGAGCAGUGGGCAACCACUCGGGGGUUCGAAUCCCUCCGCUUCCG